UGAUGAUGAGUGUGUGGGCGCCUUGCUGAAUGACCUGGAUACUAUCGGCGACGCUGUUCUGUCUCUGAACCUCACUGGCGUUUCCUCUGCUCCAUAUGGGAUCUUGUCAAGUCUGGAAAACACAACUAAAUAUUUCCAGAGGUAUUUAUUAAAAAAAAAUGCUAAGAAGAUUUGGGCAGAAAUCCAGCUUGAAGGUGUUGCAGAACAAACAGAAAACCUGCAAAAGGAGACGUCACAGAAAAGGUGGCAGCGUUGAAUGAGACCUCACAUGGGGACAUCCAGCCACCCAUUUCUGCUCUUCAGAGCAUGCACCAGAACAUUUCUUCUCUGCUGGAACUUAUAAAGAAAAGGAAUUUCACAGAGUCGCACCAAAAUGCUACCCUUGAACGCAAGGCUGCUAAAGAGUUAUUGUCACGAAUUCAGAAGAGGUUCCAAAAGCCCCAGGAAAAGCUGAAGGCAUUGAAGGAGGCAGCCAGUGGCCUCCUUUCACACCACAGUGAACAACUGCAGGCGCCAAAGGAGCUCCUGACGGAAACUGAGAACAAGACCCAGGAGAGCAAUGGCCUGCUGCUCCUCGUCAAGGCCAACCUGAGAGAGUUCAGCUAAUCUGUGUAUCACCACGGGGUUGUGGCUUACCGGAAAGAUUCUAACCUACGUCCAUCUCGGAGAGGAGAGCCAUGGGGUCUGCCACACUGCCUUCUACCCAGCAUCCUGUUCUGUCUACUCCGCCCACCUAAUUUUCUGCCCUAUCAAAAGGCCAAGGCCUUUUAUUUAUUUAACCAAUGAAAUUAACACAAAACAGAAGACCCUUCUACAUUAUUCUGUCAGCCAUCUCGCCACUCUGAUGCUCGUCCCCUUUGCGGUGCAGAAACUCCUCGAUUUCAUUGGUCAGUCCUUAACAAUUUUAUGACCUAUGAGAAUGCAAAGUUAGAAUGAUCAGUUAUCUCUAAAUAGUCUAUAUUAUCUAUGUGAUUUACUGAUGAAAUACAUUGGAGGAAUAUUUUCUGACUGUUAUACAGCCAUGAUUUGCUGUAGAGUAACAUAGUAUUCCCAGCACCAGAAGCUGUAUGAUACAUGUAGUAACUACAGUCUCGUUAUAGCUAGAAAGUCAUAGAUAAGAUGACCGUUAUAGUAAAACUUUGUGCAUAGUCAAAUGUGAUUUUUGUACAGCUUUCAUGUAUCACAAAAUUUUCUUCUUUUGGUCCCUUCUCAACUAGUGAAACAAGGUAACAAUUAUUAUGUCAAUGGGAUGUAUAAAAACAUAGGGCAGAGUAUGUUUGACUUGCAUAUACUAUUUUAUUAAUUAUAAUUUAGAAUAUUGUGCCAUAAUAUGGAAAAUGUUCAUAACACAUUGAAUGUGAGAACACAGGUCAUAAAGCAUGUACAUUGAAUGUGACAACAUCUCUGUUAACAAACAAUAUCCAGCAAGAUAGCCAGCCUUGGGUGAUGGAUGCUAUAUCAAAAUAUUUACAGGUCUACCUUGGUUAGAUUAUGGGCAAAUAUAAUUCUCCGUGUGUUUGUAUAUUCUGAAUUUGUAUAAUGAUUGUUUAUUGCCUUGUUUUAAAAAUAUUCUGUUGCAAAACUUUCAGUGUCAAAAAGGAAAUUAAGGUCAUCAGAUUCGCAGCUUAAAAAUUCACAUAAAGGAAAUACAAAAAUAUUGUGUGCUUCUGAGGAGGCGCUGCACUGUAUACAGGGUUACCAUGCUCCUAUCUUGACCAAGACAGGUGACGGGACAUGUACGCGCUCUGGAUGGAGGUGUUCCAUAGAGCUGUUGUCUGUUCAGCUACUUCUCUUAAAUUCCUGAUUCCUGGGGGGUGGGGGGGGUGCUCCUUGCUCCCAACACCUGCCAGGCAGCUACCACGUUGGGCGAGCUGCGGACCAGGGAUGGAGGGGGACAUCACUCGGAGAGCGGCCCCUUCUUCCCCAGGAUCUGGGCUUCAUUUGUGGACCUUCCCAAGCUUUAAUUUGGGUUCCUCCUCUCCGCCACUAGUAUCUUUUGCACCCACAGUGUACCGCAAGGGGAUACCCAGUCAUCACCACCAUUGGGGGUCCUGCGGCCACCACGUUAUUUGUUAUUUUUAAAGCGCUCCGGUAUUAGGUGUUUAACUAGUAAUAUAGCUUUGAGAAUCGCCGAAACCUUGAUGUGUGCCUGCCUGAUGUUGUUUAACGUAGCCAACCUAGAGGAAGUGGGACAGAUACCAUGAGACCUUUUGUUUAAUACCUUGAGUACUUCGGGUCCUAUAAAUGGAGGUUUGGGUGUUCAGUAUUUAGGACGCUGAACCUUCCAGCUGCUGUAGAGAAAAGUGAGCUAUGAAGCUGUGGGGACUCUAUGAAUCAGUCUCCUGAACUGCUGCAGUAGUGCAGUUCAGAGACUAUUGACUUUUAAAACGAGCAACCGACUUAACAAAGAACACACAAACAACAAGAUCAGGGAAUGUUUAGGAUACUUAAAAAGAUAGACCCGUGUUCUAGGGAACAGCAAGAUGACAACAGUGUCAUGUGGAAUGGGUUUCUUAAAUCUUGAGGUUUACUGACAGGAAGUGCGCCCCUUAACCUGGAGGUGUAGCUGCCUCCUCAACUGUCAAAACUUUCUUUGACACAGGUAACUGUGCCAAGCAAGGGAUCCCCACAGAGCCUCAGACAAACCUAUCAGAGCGUCCAAGCGUACCUUCUGGCCUUUGGUUCGCUGUGAUCAUGUUCAUGAAAGUGUUCAUUAAUUAAUCAUAAACAAGCUAAUUCCUUAAAACCCUGAUGUGCCAGGGAAUGUCAGCUGUCUGUCCAUGCAUGCAAACUGUCUUCAAGUGAAAGUAAACAUUUAGUCAAGCUUAUUAUUGUUAAUAAUUAUUAUUAUUACCAUUAUUUUGGUCCAAUUUGGUAAUAUUAUUUCUGAGAACACUAAGUUAUGUGCAGAAGCCAAAUUAACCCAGCCUUUCCAUAUUGUGUUUGAGUGCACACAAACUCACUCUUCUGGAUUAGGCAUUCCAGUGUGGAGUCUUCCAUUGAAAUGAAGUUCGAAGCCCAGAGGAGGGAGAGUGAGGUGUGGAGUCUUGUGCAUUAUUCACAAGGAUGUUUCCGUGCUGGGCCCAAAUCACCACCCAUGCGGGUUCUGGAGUCCAUUAGGGCCUGUUCUAAAGCGCAUUAACUAGAUAUUUACUAAUGCUAAUGAUUCUGUUGGAGUCCCUCCAGUUUUGUGUUAAAAAAUCCAUUGCAGUUGAGUUUCAGUAAGAAGCCAAGGACAUUAGUAGAAAAAUUCUGUAUGUCGAAAUAAUUUAGGGUUUGAUGGCCAAUCACUAAAAUUUGGGGUAACUUCAGUAUUGGCAAAUGGGUAUUAUAGUUAAUUGGGCUUCCUAGAUUAUUGAGAUUUAGUGAUGGGAAAACUCCUUUUGACUUUAACCCUUCUCACAAAUGCCUUCUAUGAUUAUGUGGCGAUUACAUGCAGGCUUCAGGUAAUAGUACAGCUCUGUAAAGGAAACACGUCAUGUCAUGUGACUCAGAAGAGAGAUCAUACUGUGGUGUAUUGUGGAAGAAAUUAUUGGCAUUUUUAAGUGAUUUUAAUGUUGGGUGUGCACCAAGGCCAGGUGUUUAUUGGGAACAGCACUACCGAACAUAUAUCUUUCUCCUCUGCUUUUCUUCACACUCAGAGGCAGUGAACUCAUUCUGAUGACUGAACGAGUUUUUGAGGAGCUGAAGGCAAUGGAAUGAGAGUUUGUGCAGGGAGUGUGGUCUGUGUAUCAGAUGGGGUUCCUGGUGUUGCCAGUCUGAGCUCAGUGACCUUGGAUAGGUCCCUUAACUUUUCUGAGUCUCAGUUUUCAAUUUGUUGGCAUUUAGUGAAAUAACUAUUCGAUGUCUUGUGUGACGUGCAGUGUGGACUCAAUAAAUGUCUGCACCGUGUUGUCGUCACCAGGCACUAGACCAUACUGGCGUGACUCUAUAGAAAGCAAGAAAAAGAGAAGUGCUGACAGAUUUGUACUAUAGCAUCCAGAAAUCUAGGUAGAAUUGGACCGAGCUGGGCCUGGCCAUCUCUUGUCCCGCUCGACUUGGGCAACCAGUAAUCCUCUUAAAGGCCUGCAUUCUCGCCUCCACACAUUUGUGUGCUUGCUGUGGAGAUUGAGCAAGACAGAAAAACGUGAUUUGAUACAUCUGCUGCAUGGUGGACAUCGGCACUGGAAGCUCUGGAUAGUUCUUCUGAUUUCUCUCUGUCCCUUCCUGUCCCCACCCCCCCCCAUGGUGAGGUAGAAGAAUAAAUGGUUUAUUCCCUUUGGACAGCCCAACAGUACCAUGUAUUCCCUUUCAUUGGCAUGCUCCGAGAGAGCCUCUUACCUAUACAUACCGACUCUAUUUCCUUUUCUUAGCACAAUUCAGGUAUAGCUUUCAUAUAUGGUGAAAUGCCCAUUAUCAUUGUUCAGUCAUUUAAAAAAAUCACUAAUCAUUUACCUAGAAAUUUCACAAUGCAUAUGAUAUGCAGUCAAUGGUUAUUCUUAACAGUAGUUCCGAAUUCAAAAAGUAAUGCUUAAUUUGACACACAUCAUAGAUGAUGCUAAGUUGGUUACCAUCUUCCCCAAACAUAACUGAUCUGAGAUUACUAUAUUAUAAAAGGUCAGAUCAAACACAUUGGGUUUCAAGCCAUAGGGCGCUAAGUAUGCCAUCUGCUAGGCAUACUCGUCCCAUAUAAGACGAGUGUGAUUGAAUUCUAUGAUCAACUGUCCAUUUCACAGUGAGUGUUCACAGCUUCCUGGUCAGUGACGUCAGUGUGGUCACUAUUUAGGAAUCACUAUUCUUGUCUAAUACGAGUCCCUCCUGUUUCCCACUUAGGACUUUUAGGCUAGCUGAGCAGACAGGAGCUUCAAUAUUAGAUAGCUGAACUCUGCUACAGCCUGUCUUUCCCAUGGGUUCUUUUUCUUUUUCGAGACAGGGUUUCUCUGUAGCUCUGGAGCCUGUCCUGCAACUAGCUCUUGUAGACCAGUCUGGCCAUGAACUCCCAGAUAGCCCCCUGCAGCUGCCUCUGGAGGUUGGGAUUAAAGGCCUGCUCCACCACCACCAGAUUAUUUUUUUCUAAUGUAAGCACUUGUAAGUUUCCCUUUUAGGACUGUGAUUAGUACACCCCAGAGGUUAUUUUGCAUUGAGCUUUCAUUAAUUUACAGGAAAACUUGGAUAUUCUCCUUACGUUAUCUUGUGAACCACUCUUUAUUUAGUAGUGUGUUAUUUCUUCUGCCAAAAUUGCCUAAUUUCUAAACCUUCAUUGUUCCUUAUUUCAUCACGGUCAUCUAAUAAAAUUGUGAAGUCAUUUGCAUUUUUUAAAAUAUUUAUUUAUUUAUUAAGUAUACAAUAUUCUGUCUGUGUGUAUCUCUGCAGGCCAGAAGAGGGCACCAGACCUCAUUACAGAUGGUUGUGAGCCACCAUGUGGUUUCUGGAUUUGAACUCAGGACCUUUGGAAGGGCAGGCAAUGCUCUUAACCACUGAGCCAUCUCUCCAGCCCGAGUCAUUUGCAUUUUUAUUUGUGGAA